AUUGAACGCUGGCGGCAGGCCUAACACAUGCAAGUCGGGCGAGCGGCGGACGGGUGAGUAAUGUAUGGGGAACUGCCUGACGGUGGGGGACAACUACUGGAAACGGUAGCUAAUACCGCAUACCAGCGGAUGUGCCCAGAUGGGAUUAGCUAGUAGGUGGGGGAACGGGUCACAUAGGCGACGAUCCCUAGCUGUUCUGAGAGGAUGACCAGCCACACUGGAACUUAGACACGGUCCAGACUCCUACGGGAGGCAGCAGUAGGGAAUAUUGGACAAUGGGCGCAAGCCUGAUGCAGCCAUGCCGCGUGUAUGAAGAAGGCCUUCGGGUUGUAAAGUGCUUUCAGCGAGGAGGCGUUACUCGCAGAAGAAGCACCGGCUAACUCCGUGCCAGCCGCCGCGGUAAUUC
rnacentral:rRNA from 1 species